GGCGAAGAUUAAGGAGGGGCCUCUUGAUUUCCAUCGGCUUCUGCGGUUCCUGAGCGCCGCUACGGCAGUGCCACGCCGGGAGAGCUUUGGUCCUCCCCGGAGCCCGCCCUGCACUUUACAAGCCUAUGGAGUCGAAGGGAUGGAGGGGUUCUCGGCCUAGCAUCUGCUUCCCUUCCCUACCCGGGACCUGUCAUUUCCAGGACCCAGAGCAGCGUCUCAACCGUGGUGGACAUGUCCCUUCUUUCCCUGCAUUGGAUGACAAGCUCAACUGUGACCAUCUUCCCACACAAGCACAAACGUGGCCAACUGUUCCAAAAUCAUAAAACAAAUCAAGUUCGUAAACCAAGGGAUCAAACGUGGGACCUUGCACUUGCAAGGCUGGCGGUGGCACCACUGAGCUAAAUCCCCGGCCCAGCUGAGUUUCUUUAGAAUGCAUUGUCAAGCCCAAUCCUGUCUGUUCUGCAGUCAGCACCCUAAAACAUCAGAACUUCGACAAACAAGAGUUACAACACAUACAUGCAGAUGUGAAAGAAGCCGGUAAGAGCAAAGCUAUACUCUAGACUUAAACUAAGAAACCUAGUGACCACGUUAAUUAAAGAAAGCCAAUAUUUCUGUGAGAUAAGAUUCAUUUGGUCGGAAAGCUGUAUCACACAAAUACUUAAAGUCCCCUUUUCUUGUAAACCAAUAUGAAUUACCAUUUGGGAAAAAGCACAUUUAGGAUUUCUUAGAUACAUACAUACAGAACUGCAAAACUUUUGACUAAUUUGUACAAGAAUUAAUGUCUAUUUUACCAACUAAGAGCAUACAUUUUGGGCCGGGGAUUUAGCUCAGUGGUUUUGCCGCCUGCUGUGCAAGCUCAAGGACCCAAGUUUGAUCCCUGGUACCAAAAAAAAAAAAGAGCAUACAUUUUGACCAAGACUCUUAUUCACCAAGAACAUGGCUUAUACCAGUUUCAUAACUAACACCAGUUCACAAAGUAGCAGUUUAGCCAAACAAUUUACUUAUUUUUACAGCAUAGUAGGACAAAAAUCAUGACCUUUUUACACCAAGACAAUUACAUUCUUAAA